GAGUUCAGGUGUUCUAACUCUUCUAUUCCUUUUGCUAAACCUUGCAAUGCAUCUAGACCAUCCCCAUUUCACAUCCUACUCUUGCAUUAAGUAUUGCAGAAAGAAAAGGUCAGAUUAUCUGUAAGAAGGUGACCAGCAGCAGGAGAAGCUGCCCUGCAUGGAGCCUUGGCUCCAGAGGAAAGAAUCCAGUUGGGAAUGAGUGUCUUACAGGAAAGAAAAAGCACCUGACUACUAUGUGUAUCAUACUGCUUAUCUGGUCCUGAAUUCAAAAUUAAUGAGGAAACACUUUAUUGCUGUCACUGGUCAUUGAGCCAUCAAAUCUGCAUACACACAACCUGGAACUCUUUCCCACUAAGUGCAAAGGAGGAGUCAGUAACUACUAAGCAGA